CCUACGGGAGGCAGCAGUGAGGAAUAUUGGUCAAUGGACGCAAGUCUGAACCAGCCAUGCCGCGUUCAGGCAGACGGCCCUAUGAGUUGUAAACUUCUUUUAUACGAGGGUAAACGCAGAUACGCGUAUCUGUCUGAAAGUAGCGUACGAAUAAGGAUCGGCUAACUCCGUGCCAGCAGCCGCGGUAAUACGGAGGAUUCAAGCGUUAUCCGGAUUUAUUGGGUUUAAAGGGUGCGUAGGCGGUCGGAUAAGUUAGAGGUGAAAUCCCGAGGCUCAACUUCGGAAUUGCCUUUGAUACUGUUCGGCGAGAGAGUAGUUGAGGUAGGCGGAAUGUAUGGUGUAGCGGUGAAAUGCAUAGAGAUCAUACAGAACACCGAUUGCGAAGGCAGCUUACCAAACUACGACUGACGUUGAGGCACGAAAGCGUGGGGAGCAAACAGGAUUAGAUACCCCGGUAGUC
rnacentral:rRNA from 1 species